rnacentral:rRNA from 1 species
GACGAACGCUGGCGGCGUGCUUAACACAUGCAAGUCGAACGGAAAGGCCCUGCUUUUGUGGGGUGCUCGAGUGGCGAACGGGUGAGUAACACGUGAGUAACCUGCCCUUGACUUUGGGAUAACUUCAGGAAACUGGGGCUAAUACCGGAUAGGAGCUCCUGCUGCAUGGGGGGGGUUGGAAAUUUUCGGCGGUUGGGGAUGGACUCGCGGCUUAUCAGCUUGUUGGUGGGGUAGUGGCUUACCAAGGCGUUGACGGGUAGCCGGCCUGGGAGGGUGACCGGCCACAUUGGGACUGGGAUACGGCCCAGACUCCUACGGGAGGCAGCAGUGGGGAAUAUUGCAAAAUGGGCGGAAGCCUGAUGCAGCAACGCCGCGUGCGGGAUGACGGCCUUCGGGUUGUAAACCGCUUUCGCCUGUGACGAAGCGUGAGUGACGGUAAUGGGUAAAGAAGCACCGGCUAACUACGUG